GCUUGGAAAAUCUCAGCCUACAUUAAAAGUAUUUGCAGAUGAAGAAUGUAUACUGCAAACUAACACAAGAUACGUAUGAGCUACAGAAACCUGCUGAACAAGUGGACAGGAGUAGAGCUUGGUGACAGAAAUGGGAGAAGUUGACUGUUGCCCACUGGAAUUGAUGUAAACAGAGAUGUACUCCUGGAGGACUUUAAAGUACUGAUUAAGAAUAUGAGGUUCUAGAGUCGACAGACCAGUUUCAACACAGCUCUGUCAUUCAUUGCAAGCGUGACCAUGGACAAGUUACUAAACUUCCCUCAGUGUUCAAUUCACUUGUCCGUAAAAUAAUAAUCCCUAUUCCAGAGGAGCAUGGUGGUUUCCAUGGUGUUCACGGUUUUACUUCACUCAUCUUGGGAGCUUCUGCACAUACUGGAAGAGGGCGCAGCUGCAGCGCUGGCUUUACAGCUUUAAGGGACAUUCAGCUCCCUUGCCCCUCUCCUCAGCCAACUCCUGGAAAAAGUGGCCCCCUCCCCCCAGAGCCACAUGGUCCAGUGGAAAUAGAAGCCCAA